GCUAAACCAUUCCUAGACGACCUGCUUCUGGGUCGGGUUUCGUAUGUAACAGAGCAGCUCCCUCGCUG
rnacentral:rRNA from 1 species